UCCCAUUUUAGAUAUUUAGCAAAUUUUAGACCAAUAAAAAAUUUGGGGAAGAACAUUCUGUAAAAUAAAAAGUUGACACAAUAAUUUUUAUCUGAAAGCGGAGAAAACGUGACACUAUUAUAGGGUUAAGUUUUGUUAAUUAAAAAUAAUAAUGAAGCCAUACAACACAUAAAUAGUUAAUUACUCCAUUUAAGAAGUACUGUACUAUUAUAUAAUCGAUCGACGAACAUAGUGAGUAGAAAUCAAAUUGCCAGAAUGAUUAGUUACGAGAAUUUUUUUAUAUUUUAUAGACUCAUAUUUGUGGUAAUUUAAUUAAGAUUUGUUUUAUUCUAGUAUAUAUUUUAAUUUGAAAAAAAAGAAUUAAAUUUGUUUGAGAAAUUGAGAUACUGUUUUAAACGAUUCGAGAAUGAACUGAAAGAACCUACAUAGUAAGCCAGAAUCAGAACUAGUAUCACACAAACUGCGGCUUCUCUGUAUACAAGAGGUGAUGGAAGGAGGAGAGAGAAGAGUAAAGCUGUAUUACCCAAAGCAAUCCAAAUAGUUGCAGUGGAUGACCAGAAACUGGACCUCGGGUCCAUAGCCCGCGAGCUCAACGCCUACUUCAUCGCUACAUCCCCCGAUCACAUCGCUUCUUCUCUCACCUGGAACUCUCUCAUUCGCUUCUUCACCGCUCGUGGCCCCUCUCCUCGUUCACGGCAAGAUUUGCUCCUAAGAUCCCACCAAGUUGAAGAUGCUGCAGAUGUCACCAGAGACACAGGCUGCUUUAGAGAUAGUAAAAGGCACCAUUGCAGCAGUAGUAGCAAUCCAGGUAAUCUCAACAAAUCUAGUGGGUUGUGUCUGAAGAGAGAGUGGGGGUUGGAAGACGAAAGUCAUGUGAAGAGAGCAAGCUCGGAUGAAGGCCGGUUUUCGUGCAGUUUUAACAGCAGAAACUUGAAACGAAUGCUAAUUGAUGAGAUCGUUGCUGCUCCACCUUUUAAGAAACUAAGAUAAGUAGAACCUGAAAAAUGCCAAUUGUUUGCUUCUGUUGUAAAAUGAUGCGUGUGAAAGAGAGAGAGUGUGCGUGCUAUGAAACUAUCAUCUUUUGAUAUAUGACAAUCAAUAUAUGGUACUGGAAUAUGGUAAA